UUUAAAUUCUCAUUCUGGAAGAUCACUUUCAGAUUUAUAAACACAAUCACUUAAACAGCAAGCAACACAUUUUCAUGUUUUUCAGAAAUAAAACAAAAUCUCUGCUUUUCUAGCUGUAAACUACUAGUGAGUUUCAUUUGCAAUAAAUAGAGACAUUUACUCACCAAUCUUACUCAUAAUUAAAAUCUUCAUGCAUUACCCCUGGUCCAUUAUUUAGGGAUUACCCAGUUAUGAUCCAAU